UUUUUAAACCUAUAUCAAUUAAAAUUAAUUUGGGGACAAAAUCCAUAAAACCCAAGUCGAGAAAAUCCGAAGCUGAUUUGUGCUGGACGGGAAAUUGCUGCGAAGAAGAAGUGGAACUGUUGCUUAACAUCGGUGGUGGCUGGAUUGAACUUCUAAUAGUUCCAAAUUCCUGAAAUCCCGAAUCAAAUUCUUUCCGGCGAAGUAUUUUGGACAUGGUAAUUUGUAAUUAUGUCGAAUCUGGGGAAAUGAGAGGGGACUACAGAACAUACAGCUGCAAUAAUGCGGGAAAAAUAAUGAAAGGGCACUUUCUUUUGGUUAUAUAAUUAGCAUAUGGGUUUUAGGGAAUUUGUCCCCCAAUUUGAUUUUUAAUCAGUAGGUUUUGGUUUGUUGCUUUUUGAAAUUGUUAAAACGGGCUAAGUUAAAGAUUAGCAGUUUAUUCGACAUGGCCACGAGUCCACGAUAAGUUUUGUUUCUAGAGUUUGAGUGCUAAAUUGGAAACUGUGCCAAGUUGAGGUGUUGGAAUUCAAGUAGGUUCAGUGGCCGAAUACCUUGACUAAAAAUAAAUCUAGCAUUCAAGAUUGUGAAUGGCCUAGGAUUUGCAUAUGAAAGUAAAAUUGACCUUUUGACAGGUCAAACACCCGAUGGAUUGAUUCUGUCAGCAUCUUCGAUGAAAUGGGAGCUGGAUCGAGGAUGGCUGCUUAACAUGAAUGGUCUGAUAUCUUUCACCACAUAGGUCAUUUGAAACCAAUUUGCAUCUCAAAUUCUAUCUUUACAGGCAGAUUCAAGCACAAUAGGUCGUUUGUGGUGCCCGUGGGUGAUUCGAUGUAUAUGCCAACUGCAACUGCUGAGAUGCACAAUCGAGGGCUUGAUCCAUUUGGCUAGGACAAAAAAACGAUAUGCCGUUGAGAAUGAUAAGUACUGCAUGCUGAAGAGUGGAUUGCAUAAUUUGCAUGCCGUGGAAAGGAACCUGGUGUGUUAUCGGCUUCAAGCAUAUCAGAUUAUAUGGGAUGAGGGAGAGUACCUUUUCAAGGCUAGAUCUCCAUGGUGGAGGUAGAUAAAGCUUAGCUGCGGCACUGGAUGAUUUACUGGAGUAGUUGACAAAGUUGUUAUAUUCUGCUUCCUAAGGUUGAAUUUUGAAGGGAAUUACCAGUUUGAAAGGAAAUCUUGGCCUCUUUCUGCUGCUAGCUUGUCAGCGGUUGAGUUGCUUAUGGGUUCAAACCAUAGGGCCUGUACGGUAAUUCCUAUUUGACCUCCUUGUUGCUUCUGGAAUUUACCAACACAAAAUGAGUUUGGUGAGUGAAUAGUAUCUUGUAACAAACUAAACUUUUGAUUUUUGGCUCCUGCAUACUCAAGAGACAAAUUUAUUCUGUAGUGCUUGGUAUCCUUUCCUUUUGAAAUCACUGUAAACUUAUCUGUUGUCUUGCUUUGAAAAGUAUAAAAACUUUUAUAUGA